GGCUACUCACGACACUGCUCCCGUAACCCUCGGUCCUUUGCCGUCUCUCUCCCGUCCCCCUUUGCGGCGGCGCAUCGCCAUCGAUCCAGGCCGCCGCUCGCCUCAUCCCGCCUUCCUCCGUAGCCAGCGGCGGCGCACUUCGGCAGGUCCCUCCCAUCUCGCCUCCUCCCGCAUCCCCCGUGCUGCUCGACUCCCGCCUCAUCCGCAUUACCCCGUGGCGGCGCGAAGGACAAAGGGUGACCACGAGUCCACGACAGGGCGGCUCGACUCCCGACCAGCACCCCGGUUUGCUAGAAAAGAAAGCAAGGGGCGGCGGCCACAGCAGCAAAGCAGUACCUCGUCAUCAACGGAUCCUUCUCUUCAAUAUCAAUCCCAAGGUCUGUUUCGAGAAAUAAGGUUAAGUGAGCUUUAACUGAAAAACAAAUGGUGGAUAUCCCCGUCAAAGCUGGAAAGAAGAAGCAGAGGCGAACAAUGGUACGACGGAAUGUGUUACCGAAGACUUCAUUGCUUGAUUUGACUGUUACCAAAAGAGGUGCUCUGGCUUGCACAUUGUAUGAAUCCUAUAUCCUGGGAAAAGAAGUUGUCCAAACUGUCACUGUAGCAGGUUCUACAUCUAAUCAUUCUGAACUCCACAUGCAAUCAGCGCUUGCCAAAGGAGUUAUCAACUCAGUCUUGUUGUUUUACUCAUCAACGCACUUUGCUGGGUGGAGUUUCUGUGGGAAGCUCAAACCAUCAGAUUUCUUUGUCACGCCUUUGGGUUACUUCAAAGUCUUGGCCUCGAAGCUUCAAAAGUUGAAACCCAAGAAUGAAAGGAGGGUUCGGAAAGAUUACCGUGUAGUCUUCCGAAUGCUGAAGUCUCUUUUCUGCAGAGCAUUGCAUCUGCCAAAGGAAGUUCGACACCUGUUGAAGCUUUUGAGAGAAUUCAGACAGAAAGAUUGUUUAAUUGUGAACAAUCAUCCGUCUGGUAUGAGUGAGCAGGAGAAAUUAUCCCUUCUUGUGAGAUGUUGCCAGGAAUUAGAGCACCUCGAAAAGGAAUAUCCUGAAAAGUACAUGCAAGUAAUAACCGGGCUGCCAUUCUGUAAACCCCACUGGAAGAUAAGAGUCAGUAAAAAUCUAUACUUGGAUAAUGUGCUAGCUGAAACAAUUGACACCUACCCGGAUGAUGGGACAGGUGUUGUCGAGUUUGUAUGGAAUUCAUUGGAGUACUUGGGCACACAGCAAUCUGCCAAUUUGACGACGGGCCAGACAAGAAAAAGGAAGAACUUUGAGGAUGAGCAAGUGGAGCACACGCUGGGGAAAGCCCUGCCUGGGUUACUUUGUGAACUUAUGAAGCUACUCAAUGAUGUGGGAGAACUUCAGAAAAUCCUUGGGGUGUCGCGUCCUAGGCUUGGUGGUUGCUGUAGAACAGAUCACUGGUAAGCCUUGGAGGUUGCUGCAGAACAGAUCACUGGACCUCUUGAAGACACCGAUGAUAAUUACUCAGUUUUAUUCCAUAGGUAUGGAGUUACAGCCGAGAGGCAUCCUCAAUACAUGGUGGUCCUUGGUGCAACCAUACAGCGGCGGUGCACUCGGUUCGACUAUAAUUUACCACGGCGACUCUAUUUUGUUCCCCAUUAAGCUUUUGCGGAAUAAACUAGUUAACUCUUAAUUGGUCUGAAAUCCUAAUAAAUAUUGAUCUGUCGUUGCUCUCAUAUCGAAGCCGCCCUGACGUUUCAAUGAUAACCAGGAAGUCUUCAUGCACACUAAGGACCAGCAGCGUCCCGAAGCCGUAGUCACAGACGUUGAAUCCUUAAAACGAUCUGAAGAACAUGACACCAAGUAUCGUUGUUGUGUACACUCGGCGAAAAACCCUAACCUCACGGCCCCGAGGAGCUGACAGGGAUCUACGCUGGAGUUUCGUCUAAUCUGUCUCAACGGACGAACAGAGGAGGAUCAAAGUCCGGAAGACUGAUUUGUAAGGCAAGUGUCGCCAUUUAUCCUAACGUUGUCCCCGUCUAAUCCCCUACCUAUCUACUACCCAGCCCUCUCCACCAUCGGUCACGACAAACAAAAGGAAGAUGAAUCCACAAGCUCACUGGUGAAGAUAAAGGAGAGGAAAGCAACGGACGAGGCCUUGUUUGAGCACAUUGUAAGCAUUACCGUUGAUCAGGGUCCUACGAUCGAAGUGACCUGAAAGAGAGACAUGUCGCAACAAAGUGUUAAUAUAAAACAAGUUCACUUUCCAUGGCUGAGAUUAGCUUGUUAUGCAAGGUCAAGACCAACGUGGUGAUUUCUAGGUAACUCGACAGUAAACACAUACUCCCUCCGUCCGUGAAUAAGUGUACAUCUAGCUUUUGUACUAAGUCGAAAUUUUAAAAUUUUGAUCAACUUUAUAAGGAAAAGUAGCAGCAUUUGUGAUACUAAAUUAGUAUCACUAGAUUCGUUUUGAAAUGUAAUUUCAUAUAUACCAAUUUGAUGUCAUAUAUGCUACUGCUCUUUUUUGUAAAGUUGGUCAAAUUUUUAAAAGGUAAAAGUACACUUAUUUGCAGACAGGAGGAGUACAGUUUACGUGUGAUAGCCGUUUUGUGAAUCUUCUCCCUUUCCAUCUA